rnacentral:rRNA from 1 species
AUGGAGCUGGAAUCGAUGGUGGAGACAACCAAGAUGACGGGCUCACCGUUCCCGACGGUGGAGAAGUGCUCGUCUGUGGACCGGAGCGGGGACACGGUGGUGGCAGACCUGGACGGCACACUGCUGUGCGACCGGAGCUCUUUCCCGUACUUCGCGCACAUGGCUUUCGAGACCGGCGGCGUACUCCGGCUCCUGUUGCUCCUCCUGCUGGCUCCACUCGCAGGGCUCCUCUACUUGUUCGUGUCCGAGUCGGCGGGCAUACAGGUGCUCAUCUUCGGGUCCAUGGCCGGCGCCAAGGUCGAUGACGUCGAGUCUGUGGCACGCGCGGUGCUGCCCAAGUUCUACUGUUCCGACCUCCACCCGGAGUCGUGGCGUGUGUUCUCGGCGUGCGGACGCCGGUUCGUGCUCACCGCGAACCCAAGGAUCAUGGUGGAAGCCUUCCUGAAGGACUACAUCGGCAGCGAUGUCGUGCUCGGCACUGAGCUCGUGGUCUGGGGCCGUAGGGUGACUGGGCUCGUCUGCUCCCCUGGCGUGCUCGUCGGCGACAACAAGGCCGAUGCGCUGCGUCAAGCGUUCGGCAACGCAAUGCCGGAGAUUGGCCUCGGUGACAGCAAGUCGGACUUUCCGUUCAUGCGGCUGUGCAAGGAGCGGUACAUGGUGCCCCCGACGCCGAAGAUGAAGCCCGUGCCGCAGGAAAACCUGCCGAAGACGGUGAUCUUCCACGAUGGCCGGAUCGUCCACAGGCCGUCGCCGGCGCUCGCGCUGCUCACCUUGCUCUGGUUUCCCAUCGGGCUCCUGCUCUCCUUCCUCCGUAUCGCCGCGGGCUCGCUCCUGCCGAUGCGCAUGGUGUACCACGCCUUCACUGCUCUCGGAGUCCGCGUCACCAUCAAGGGCAACCAGCCACCACCAGCAUGCCUCGAGUCCGGCCAGACCGGCGUGCUCUUCGUCUGCUCCCACCGCACUCUCCUCGAUCCAAUCUUCCUUUCCACGGCCCUCGGCCGGCCGAUCACCGCCGUCACCUACUCCGUAUCACGGCUGUCGGAGAUACUGUCGCCGAUCCGAACGGCGCGGCUGACCCGUGACCGCGCGGUGGACGCGGCGAUGAUCCGGCGCCUGCUCAAGGAGGGCGACCUUGUAGUCUGUCCCGAGGGCACGACGUGCCGGGAGCCAUUCCUGCUGCGUUCUCGGCCUUGUUCGCGGAGUUGA